CAAAGCAUCGAGAGUUCGGUGGUUUCCGAUGGGGUCGACGAACGUUGUCCCAAGGGUUGGAGGAAGCAGCGAGACGUAUUCGAAGAUGCCC
rnacentral:SRP_RNA from 1 species